GACGAACGCUGGCGGCGUGCUUAACACAUGCAAGUCGAACGGAAAGGCCCUGCUUUUGUGGGGUGCUCGAGUGGCGAACGGGUGAGUAACACGUGAGUAACCUGCCCUUGACUUUGGGAUAACUUCAGGAAACUGGGGCUAAUACCGGAUAGGAGCUCCUGCUGCAUGGUGGUGGUUGGAAAGUUUCGGCGGUUGGGGAUGUGCUCGCGGCUUAUCAGCUUGUUGGUGGGGUAGUGGCUUACCAAGGCUUUGACGGGUAGCCGGCCUGAGAGGGUGACCGGCCACAUUGGGACUGAGAUACGGCCCAGACUCCUACGGGAGGCAGCAGUGGGGAAUAUUGCACAAUGGGCGGAAGCCUGAUGCAGCAACGCCGCGUGCGGGAUGACGGCCUUCGGGUUGUAAACCGCUUUCGCCUGUGACGAAGCGUGAGUGACGGUAAUGGGUAAAGAAGCACCGGCUAACUACGUG
rnacentral:rRNA from 1 species